rnacentral:rRNA from 1 species
UACGAAGGGGGCUAGCGUUGCUCGGAAUCACUGGGCGUAAAGCGCACGUAGGCGGAUCUUUAAGUCAGGGGUGAAAUCCUGGAGCUCAACUCCAGAACUGCCUUUGAUACUGAGGAUCUUGAGUCCGGGAGAGGUGAGUGGAACUCCGAGUGCAGAGGUGAAAUUCGUAGAUAUUCGGAAGAACACCAGUGGCGAAGGCGGCUCACUGGCCCGGUACUGACGCUGAGGUGCGAAAGCGUGGGGAGCAAACAGG